GGUGGAGUAAUAUAAUAAGUAUGGUGGGUUCAUGCCCCAUUUGCGGGAGGUUUUAUAUUCCUUUCCUCUGCCU
rnacentral:tRNA from 1 species